rnacentral:rRNA from 1 species
AUUGAACGCUGGCGGCAGGCCUAACACAUGCAAGUCGAACGGUAGCACAGAGAGCUUGCUCUCGGGUGACGAGUGGCGGACGGGUGAGUAAUGUCUGGGAAACUGCCCGAUGGAGGGGGAUAACUACUGGAAACGGUAGCUAAUACCGCAUAACGUCGCAAGACCAAAGAGGGGGACCUUCGGGCCUCUCACUAUCGGAUGAACCCAGAUGGGAUUAGCUAGUAGGCGGGGUAACGGCCCACCUAGGCGACGAUCCCUAGCUGGUCUGAGAGGAUGACCAGCCACACUGGAACUGAGACACGGUCCAGACUCCUACGGGAGGCAGCAGUGGGGAAUAUUGCACAAUGGGCGCAAGCCUGAUGCAGCCAUGCCGCGUGUAUGAAGAAGGCCUUCGGGUUGUAAAGUACUUUCAGCGGGGAGGAAGGCGAUGUGGUUAAUAACCGCAUUGAUUGACGUUACCCGCAGAAGAAGCACCGGCUAACUCCGUGCCAGCAGCCGCAGUAA